AUACGUAGGUGGCGAGGCGUUGUCCGGAAUUACUGGGCGUAAAGGGUGCGUAGGCGGAUAUUUAAGUCAGAUGUGAAAUUCCCGGGCUCGAACCUGGGAAGUGCAUUUGAAACUGGGUAUCUAGAGUGCAGGAGAGGGAAGCGGAAUUCCUAGUGUAGCGGUGAAAUGCGUAGAUAUUAGGAAGAACACCAGUGGCGAAGGCGGCUUCCUGGACUGUAACUGACGCUGAGGCACGAAAGCGUGGGGAGC
rnacentral:rRNA from 1 species